rnacentral:rRNA from 1 species
UACGUAGGGUGCAAGCGUUAAUCGGAAUUACUGGGCGUAAAGGGUGCGCAGGCGGCCCCGCAUGUCGAGUGUGAAAUCCCCGGGCUUAACUUGGGAAUGGCGCUCGAAACUACGGGGCUGGAGUGUGGCAGAGGGAGGUGGAAUUCCACGUGUAGCGGUGAAAUGCGUAGAGAUGUGGAGGAACACCGAUGGCGAAGGCAGCCUCCUGGGCCAACACUGACGCUCAUGCACGAAAGCGUGGGGAGCAAACAGGAUUAGAUACCCGCGUAGUCC